rnacentral:rRNA from 1 species
CUACGGGUUGCAGCAGUGGGGAAUAUUGCGCAAUGGGCGAAAGCCUGACGCAGCAACGCCGUGUGAGCGAUGAAGGCCCUCGGGUCGUAAAGCUCUGUCAGAAGGAACGAAUACUUUGCUGGAGUAAUACCCAGCAGAUUUGACGGUACCUUUAGAGGAAGCACCGGCUAACUCCGUGGCCAGCAGCCGCGGUAAUACGGAGGGUGCAAGCGUUGUUCGGAAUUACUGGGCGUAAAGCGCGUGUAGGCGGAUACAGAAGUCGGGUGUGAAAGCCCUGGGCUCAACCCAGGAAGUGCGCUCGAAACCAUGUAUCUUGAGAUCCGGAGGGGAUCGGGGAAUUCCUGGUGUAGAGGUGAAAUUCGUAGAUAUCAGGAGGAACACCGGUGGCGAAGGCGCCGAUCUGGACGGUUUCUGACGCUCAGACGCGAAAGCGUGGGUAGCAAACAGGAUUAGAUACCCCCGUAGUC